AUUGAACGCUGGCGGCAGGCCUAACACAUGCAAGUCGAACGAGUGGCGGACGGGUGAGUAAUGUCUGUGGAUCUGCCUGAUAGAGGGGGAUAACUACUGGAAACGGUGGCUAAUCCCGCAUACUAUCGGAUGUACCCAUAUGGGAUUAGCUUGUUGGUGGGGUAAAGGCUCACCUAGGCGACGAUCCCUAGCUGGUCUGAGAGGAUGAUCGGCCACACUGGGACUGAGACACGGCCCAGACUCCUACGGGAGGCAGCAGUGGGGAAUAUUGGACAAUGGGCGCAAGCCUGAUGCAGCCAUGCCGCGUGUAUGAAGAAGGCCUUAGGGUUGUAAAGUACUUUCAGCGGGGAGGCGUUACCCGCAGAAGAAGCACCGGCUAACUCCGUGCCAGCAGCCGCGGUAAUUC
rnacentral:rRNA from 1 species